rnacentral:rRNA from 1 species
UACGGAGGGUGCAAGCGUUAUCCGGAUUCACUGGGUUUAAAGGGUGCGUAGGUGGGUUGGUAAGUCAGCGGUGAAAUCUCCGAGCUUAACUCGGAAACUGCCAUUGAUACUACCGAUCUUGAAUACUGUGGAGGUGAGCGGAAUAUAUCAUGUAGCGGUGAAAUGCUUAGAUAUGAUAUAGAACACCGAUAGCGAAGGCAGCUCACUACGCAGUUAUUGACACUGAGGCACGAAAGCGUGGGGAUCAAACAGG